rnacentral:rRNA from 1 species
UGGGGAAUAUUGCGCAAUGGGGGGAACCCUGACGCAGCCAUGCCGCGUGAAUGAAGAAGGCCUUCGGGUUGUAAAGUUCUUUCGGUAUUGAGGAAGGUUGAUGUGUUAAUAGCACAUCAAAUUGACGUUAAAUACAGAAGAAGCACCGGCUAACUCCGUGCCAGCAGCCGCGGUAAUACGGAGGGUGCGAGCGUUAAUCGGAAUAACUGGGCGUAAAGGGCACGCAGGCGGUUAUUUAAGUGAGGUGUGAAAGCCCCGGGCUUAACCUGGGAAUUGCAUUUCAGACUGGGUAACUAGAGUACUUUAGGGAGGGGUAGAAUUCCACGUGUAGCGGUGAAAUGCGUAGAGAUGUGGAGGAAUACCGAAGGCGAAGGCAGCCCCUUGGGAAUGUACUGACGCUCAUGUGCGAAAGCGUGGGGAGCAAACAGGAUUAGAUACCCUGGUAGUCCACGCUGUAAACGCUGUCGAUUUGGGGGUUGGGGUUUAACUCUGGCACCCGUAGCUAACGUGAUAAAUCGACCGCCUGGGGAGUACGGCCGCAAGGUUA